UGAGCACCACUCGCAGCAGGGAAGAGCAAGAGCUACUCAUUCACCAGCACCUCAGCAAAAACGAUUACCCUCAUUCUCUCAUCAACCGACUCCUUCAUCAACCACCUCGUACAGACAACCCGGAGAAACCAACAAUCUACCGAUCAAUCCCAUAUGUCCAUGGUCUCAGCUCUAGCAUCAAGAGAAUACUCCACAAGAGCAACACACAAAUAGGAAUCUCCCACAGCUACAAAAACACAGUAGGGCAUCUUUAUAAGAAUGCAAAGGAUCCGGUAUCUGAUCUCAGCAAAUGUCAUAUACCGGAUCGACUGACGGGAUUGUCCAAGCACAUAUAUUGGGAUGACAACAAAUAAGCUGAGGAAUCGAAUGUACGGACAUCAAACACACGUCAACACACUGGAGAGAAAGUUAUUGGAAGGCCAUCAGUACACAGAUCCGGAAAUACUACAGCUUCAAGAAAAAUCUGCGCUAAUCCACCACUGCAUCCAGCACCAACACCGAUUCAAUAUUGGCAACCCCUCCAUCGUCGAUAUAACACAUAGGAAACAAGCUCUGCAAGUGUUGGAGAUGUGUCACAUCUCGACAACCUCCAACACGGUCAACCAUCGGACUGAUACCGACAAUCUAAGCUGUGCGUACGCACAUCUCCUCGCUUCGAUCAAAGAUCAGAGAGCAGAGAGAAUUGCGUCGUCAACAAACCGAAAUAAUCGACGAGAAACAGAUGAUCAAACAGCUGACCCAACUACCUAACCCACACUAACAAAUCCUACCACCCAAAUUACACCAAAGAUACACACCCCACAGUAAAAUCCGAACGGCGAUUGAUAACAGCCGCAGUGUUGUGUUCCGCUGAUUUCUUGUCUCGAGUGUCUCCCUUUCGUACCACCCACCCAACAUCCCACUAGGGUGCUGGUGAUGAACGAGAAAAGUGCAGUGUCUUUUAGAAUCCGACAAACGAACGUGUGCAAAAUACGAUUAUCACAAGUUGAUUAAGAUCGAGUGAGUAGGAGAUAGAACUAACAAAUUUCAACAAUAACUAAUAGAUACUUUCGAAUAAAUAACAGGCCCUGAGGAAGAUCCCAACCCAAGGAUCGAAACGUUGGCAAUGAUAUAGAAGUA